rnacentral:rRNA from 1 species
UACGGGAGGCAGCAGUGGGGAAUAUUGCACAAUGGGCGAAAGCCUGAUGCAGCAACGCCGCGUGAGCGAUGAAGGCCUUUGGGUCGUAAAGCUCUGUCCUUGGGGAAGAAAAAAAUGACGGUACCCUUGGAGGAAGCCCCGGCUAACUACGUGCCAGCAGCCGCGGUAAUACGUAGGGGGCAAGCGUUAUCCGGAAUUAUUGGGCGUAAAGAGUGCGUAGGUGGUUUUGUAAGCGCGGGGUGAAAGGCUAUGGCUCAACCAUAGUAAGCCUUGCGAACUGUAAGACUUGAGUGCAGGAGAGGAAAGCGGAAUUCCUAGUGUAGCGGUGAAAUGCGUAGAUAUUAGGAGGAACACCAGUGGCGAAGGCGGCUUUCUGGACUGUAACUGACACUGAGGCACGAAAGCGUGGGGAGCAAACAGGAUUAGAUACCCUGGUAGUCCACGCCGUAAACGAUGAGCACUAGGUGUCGGGGCCGCAAGGUUUCGGUGCCGCAGUUAACGCAUUAAGUGCUCCGCCUGGGGAGUACGCACGCAAGUGUGAAACUCAAAGGAAUUGACGG